AUAGAUGAAUUCACGUGCAACACAGACAGCGUCCCUUGUCAUUACAGGAUAUUGUUCGCUAAUAAACCGGUGGCAUCAAUCAUCGUUAGUAAAACGAAACGGUGGAUACGCGGUGUUCACGAUCGGGAAUAAAAUACAGAAAGGCAGAAUUUUACUGUCAGAACUCAAGCUUUCCAGAGGUCUUCCGUAUCCAAAUACAACGACGACGAUUCGACAACAUGCCGUGGGAGUUCGGAGGUCUGUUUACACGAGUUCGCAAAUAUAGCCAUAGGUAUCGGAGCCAACCGAAGCGAAGAAUUGAUAAAUUAGUUAUUCCGUCAGUCGCCUGCCGCUGUUUCUCUAGGUUUGUCUCCUUCGUGAUCCUCGUUCGGUAUGAGGUGCACUCUCAAGGACUAUGUUGAAACAGGCGUGAACGCAAUGCAUCUAAGGAUCUGUUCUGACCGCAGGCCUGUAUCCGCAGCGACGACGGUUUGAAUUGAAGACUUUUGCGGAUGGUAACUCGUUGGCUCACGCGCUAACGUAUUUGCAAGAUCCGCUACGCUGAUGGACAUAUAAUGCGACGUGUGAUUGUAGGCCCGCCAAUCGCGGCCGAUUGUGCCUCUGAAGGCCCGCUAACUAUCUCAAACUAGCCCCAUUCAAGCUGCCACGACCUCUCUCUAUCCAUCUCUAUCCGCCACCAUACCUCUGUGUCUCGCUCGUUCCAACCCUCCGCACCUCGUUCACCGCCACCCACCACCCCCAAAGCCCAUACCUCUCGCUCAUCCCUAACCUUUCUCUCCCUUGCACCCCGACUCUCGUCUCGUUUGCUCCGACUUCGCAGCGAUUUUCCCCUCCAGCACGGUAAGCUCUACCUCCUCGUCCUUUCUGGCUCCAUGUAUUUCUUGCCGCACGUUUCUUCCGCGCCUCGUAUCCUGCUCUAAUUUUCGACCAGCUCUUUCGCGGCACACGUAAUCUUCCAUUUUAUUCGCUUCAUCCUUUCUAACGCGUGAUUCCUCGCCCCACGAGCCCGGUUAUUUUUUCUCCGGGGUACCGGCGAGUGUUUUGCUUUCCAUUUACCAUCCCUUUAUCUCGCUGAGUCUAUUCACCUGCGUUCUGAGGUUUUCGCGAUUUCUUUCCUUUCGCCCUCCUAGGAACGAGUGUGCCCGAUUGGGAACCUGAUGAAAGAAAUCUCUGUAGAGUUUGUUGAAAAAGUUAUAUGCGAUUUGACUAUGAUCAUGUUGAUAUCGCAUCCGUUGUUGAGUACAUGUCUUCCAUAAAAAUAUAGAAAACAUAUUGCGUCCCAUUUUAAAAAAUGAAGGGGACAUUGAUAUCUCGAAAUCGCUUCCACCCAGAAAAGAAUAAUUACUGUCACCUUUUUUCCCCUCUUGAAAUUGAUUACUUUGUGUCAGAACUAUUUUUCAAUGCGACUUCGAAUUUUGUAGACAAUUGCGUCGGUCACCGUAUAAGAAUCACCCUGUAUAUUCUUUUUAUAAGGUUGUAAAAGUAGAGUAAAAUUCACGUAGUAGAUGGUUAAGACAGAACUGUGGGAGAGUAAGAUCUGUUCGUGGGAGAGUGAACCUCUCUUUUACAGGGCGUUAGGGAUGUAAUUUUAAGAUCUUAAAUGUUUCAGAAAAUACACUUAAUAAAACAGACGAUUUUUCAUCCAACCAGGAGCCUGCUUCAACCCGGUUUCCCAUCGUUCUUCGAUUUGUAAAUUCAUACAUUUCCGCGGUGCUCCCACUAUUUUCGUUUCGAUGCCACCCUUCCCUGGGUCGCCGCCUCUUUUCCCAUCGUUAACGCUCUUCACCCGUUUGAUUUUCUCCGUCCUCCUCUACCCUUCAUGGCCCUGCUUCAUUUUAAGCGCUUCUUGAAUCUACUUUCUCCCUCUCGCCUCUUGGUAUUCUCCUCUUCGUCUCUUCUCUCGCACGGGCAUGAAUUCAUCUCUUUCAGCAGUCAUCUCCGUCGGUAUCCCUUAUCCCUGUUCACCCUCUCCGUUCGAUCCUCGCUUCGACACAAUCACGCGCGGUUACAUAGGUACGUUCCACUAGGCGUCGCCCGGUAUUCGUCCCGAUUCGAAUUCUCGACCCUAUAUAACCGCUGCACGUUCUACGUGGGAAUUUCAAAUCUAUCACCGACCCAGACGAAUGCAAAUCGCGCAUGAAGCGCGCUUAAUAAAGCCCCGCACACGGCCCGCAACUCGCAAUUUUCUUUCCGAAGCUACGUGUCGCGCGCUCCUCUUAAUGAAACCUUCGCAUGCACCUCGUGCAAUUCGCGGCUGCACCCGCAUUGAACGCACUGCGUUCCCUCGAAACGGGAAAAAAGAAAACACCCGCGUGUCUUAGUCGGGAUCGUUAAGCGUCGACGGGAGGAGAGAGAGGCGAUUUUAAUUCCCUCGCGGAAGGGGAUCCGCUUGCGAGACUAGUGAAAGAGGUUCCAGUUAGGAAAAUGAUUUAAGGGAGUGUUCUAGCACUUUAGAAAAAUCUAGACUUUCUUGCAUUUUUUGGGGGGGACGUGGUACGUUAAAAUGUUAGUAAUUAAAAUAUUUUUAAACACAGG